AGCAUCUUGACGCGGCGUGUUGAUUCCUGUUCACCCGAGAUCUACCUCACAUGUACAGUGAGUGCCAGGCCCUGUGGGGUUGCAGGCACAGGCAGGGUCCACAUCCUGCUUAAAAGGAGUUACCACCCAACUGGAAUGCGAAAUAGUGAGUGAAGGGUAGCACCAAGAGUGGACCUAAGUACAGUGAAGACAAGACCAGGACAGUUGUGGUGUGGCAGCAGAUCAACAUUGUUCAGACGUGAGCCAUGGGAGACAUUUGCUACGGGUUCAAGAUCCAUGGAUCAAUAACGUCUACCAAGGAUAGUGUCCUGAAACACAAGCACAUAGGCCAUAGUGGGUCAGGACUUAGCGACCAAUGAUGAGGCCACCGAGGUCCAGAGGUUCAGAAGCAGCCUGGGAUCUCUCCUCUUGGAUGUAUCGACAUGCUCAGAGGGCCAAUGAGAUAGUUCAGCAGACAAAGGCUCUUCCCACCAAGACUGGAGUGCUGGGUUCGAUCCCUGGGAUCUGCACCUCCUCAGGAGAGAAGUGAUUUCCACAUGUUUUCCUCUGACCUCCGUAUGUGUGAGGUA